GACGGGGACCCGCACAAGCGGUGGAUGAUGUGGAUUAAUCGAUGCAACGCGAAGAACCUUACCUACCUUGACAUGUCCGGAACUUGCCAGAGAUGGCUUGGUGCCCGAAAGGGAAUCGGAACACAGGUGCUGCAUGGCUGUCGUCAGCUCGUGUCGUGAGAUGUUGGGUUAAGUCCCGCAACGAGCGCAACCCUUAUCAUUAGUUGCUACGCAAGGGCACUCUAAUGAGACUGCCGGUGACAAACCGGAGGAAGGUGGGGAUGACGUCAAGUCCUCAUGGCCCUUAUGGGUAGGGCUUCACACGUCAUACAAUGGUCGGUACAGAGGGUUGCCAAGCCGCGAGGCGGAGCCAAUCCCACAAAGCCGAUCGUAGUCCGGAUUGUUCUCUGCAACUCGAGAGCAUGAAGUCGGAAUCGCUAGUAAUCGUGGAUCAGCAUGCCACGGUGAAUACGUUCCCGGGCCUU
rnacentral:rRNA from 1 species